CUGCUUACAACGCUCUUGCGUAAGCGUUAGGCAGAUCAAACCACGGCCAUGUGUUGCCAUAAAAUUAAUGUCUUCUUUGGUAACGGUUGCGGCAGGAAUAAUUA
rnacentral:antisense_RNA from 1 species